GAUGAACGCUGACAGAAUGCUUAACACAUGCAAGUCAACUUGAACUUCGGUUUGGGUGGCGGACGGGUGAGUAACGCGUAAAGAACUUGCCUCACAGCUAGGGACAACAUUUGGAAACGAAUGCUAAUACCUGAUAGUAUGAUUAUAUGGCAUCGUAUAAUUAUGAAAGCUAUAUGCGCUGUGAGAGAGCUUUGCGUCCCAUUAUCGAGUUGGAGAGGUAACAGCUCACCAAGGCGAUGAUGGCUAGCCGGCCUGAGAGGGUGAUCGGCCACAAGCGGACGGGGACACCACCCUUACGCAUACGGGCGGCAGGAGUGGGGACCAUUGGACACUGGACCGAGAGUCUGAUGCAGCACUUCUGUGUGCACGAUGAAGUUUUUCGGAAUGUACAGUGCUUUCAGUUGGUAAGAACAAAAUGACGGUACCAACAGAAGAAGUGACGGCUAACUACGUG
rnacentral:rRNA from 1 species